GAUGAUGUUAGCUAUGCGAAGCAUUUGAUCGAAGCCCGAGUAAACGGCGGCCGUAACUAUAACGGUCCUAAGGUAGCGAAAUUCCUUGUCGGUUAAAUACCGACCUGCAUGAAUGGCGUAACGAGAUGGGAGCUGUCUCAAAGAGGGAUCCAGUGAAAUUGUAGUGGAGGUGAAAAUUCCUCCUACCCGCGGCAAGACGGAAAGACCCCGUGGACCUUUACUACAGCUUGACACUGCUAUUUGGAUAAAGAUGCGCAGGAUAGGUGGGAGGCUUUGAUCCAUAGACCCUGGUUUAUGGUGAGCCAUUGUUGAGAUACCACUCUUCUUUAUUCGAGUAGCUAACUAGCCUAAGUUAUCCUUAGGUAGGACAAUGUCUGGUGGGUAGUUUGACUGGGGCGGUCGCCUCCCAAAAUGUAACGGAGGCUUACAAAGGUUGGCUCAGAACGGUUGG
rnacentral:rRNA from 1 species